AAAUAAGAAGCAAAAAAAAAUGCAUUUAAUUUCGACUUAAAAAUCUGAUCAAAAGAUCCUUAUUUA
rnacentral:tRNA from 1 species